CUCUGUCUCAAUAAGCUUGGCUGUGUAUUUAGAGACUUGGUUGGAUUAACAUAUCCCACUAUGUGACGUCGCUGCCUCCUAUGGUCUGUGCGGUGAACGAAAGUGAGGCAAUCAGCAGCAGUCCCUUUAUCUAGAGGCACAGCUGCUUAAAGAAACCACAUGGCCCAGGAUGGCACCAGAGCUUCUUGAGCCCUGACCAGAUGCCAGAGGAAGAUAAGAUGCUGAGAAACUAAUGCAAACUGGAACCACAAUCCCUGAUUUUCUUCAUAUCAUUAACAUACAAUUAUAAUGCUAAAAUUUUGUUCCCUAAAAGAAAAUCUCCUCCAUUCUGUGUACAUGUGAUGUAUGAAGACAUGUUUAUGAACCGUGCUUACGCAUCUGGAGUCCCACCCUGCACAUGCUAACAUUCUUCUCCUGCCCCACGCCUUAUCCUUAAAAACCCCAUAUGCCUUCUGUUGUUUGGGGAGAAGGUGCAUCUAGAAUGAGUGCUCCCUUUCUCCAUUAUCUGGCCAGGGAAUAAAAC
rnacentral:lncRNA from 10 species